rnacentral:lncRNA from 1 species
UCUAUCUCCACUCUCAUUAAUAUGGGUGGCCUAUUGCUCUUAUUAAAAGGAAAGGAGGAUAUGUGGGGAGCCGCCCUCACAUUUGCCGUUGCAAGAUGGCACUGACAUCCUGUGUUCUAAGUGGUAAACAAAUAAUCUGCGCAUGUGCCAAGGGUAGUUCUCCACUCCAUGUGCUCUGCCUUCCCCAUGACAACAACUCGGCCAAUGGGCUGCAGCCAAUCAGGGAGUGACAUGUCCUAGGCGGAGGAUAAUUCUCCUUAAAAGGGACAGGGUUUUGCCAUUCUCUCUCUCUUGCUCUCUUGCUCCUGAAGAUGGUAAGCAAUAAAGCUUUUGCCGCAGAAGAUUCUGGUUUGUUGCGUCUUUCCUGGCCGGUCGUGACCGCGUGUAAGAGAAAGAAGAAAUGACUUUAAUGCAGCCAGAAAUCUCAAAGGAGUCAGCAGAUCCCAGCGCCGCCUCCCUGCUCACAAGCACAGCAGUUAAACCCAGGACCUGGUGUACACUAUUGAGCAAGCCACUGAGCUGUCCUGCCCCGCCUUAGACCCCCAUCUCAGCCUCCCAGAUGCUGAGGAUACAGGGUCUACAAGCUGUUGAGUUUGGCUUGGCUGCAGUUACCUCUGGGCCUCACUGAAGAAGGACAGGCUUCAAAGCUCACCUAGUUCUUGGUCUCUGCUCUGCUAAACACAAAAUAUGACCUCUCAUUCCUGAAAGAAAUGGAAUUUGUUUUAUGAAAAUCAUUUGCUAAUGCUUAAAUCUAUCACAUCUUGGACAUUUCUAAAGCAAACUGAGGAAAAGGUCAGUGUGAAUCCUCUUACGAAUCAAAGUCCAAGAUGUUUACAUCCUACAAAGGCCAAUCUUUGGAUACACUGCUGAGGAGUUCCUGUCUGUUAGAACAGUGCUUUCUAGUUCUGCUAGAGACUCUCCUUGUCCUUUGGGAAGGGUGAAGCUUGGGACCAGAACUUGCUAUGUUGCCCAGAAUGGGCAAUCGUGACCCUCCUGCUUUAGCUUGCUGAGGGCUGGGAUUACAGACAAAUGGCUGCACACAUGGUAGGUGGGUGACAUUGAUCAUGUGUUUAUGGCUUACCCAAAUUUACAAAGCUAAUAAGGCUUUCACUUUUUUUUUAACCAGAUAACUUUGCCAAUCACCAUUAAUACACUGUUAUACAACAUAUACAAAAUAAAUCUAUAAAUGUAUGCUUUAGUGAAUUUUUUAUACAUAAUGAGGUUUAAAAACUAAAUUGUGACAUCUUUCAUUCCUCUGCACAUUAUUAUGGCUUCUGUUGAGUGCCAGCUCCUAGACCCAAGUGGUGUGAGAACCCUUCUUUGAUUUAGCAUGUGUCUUGGACAACUUACUCAUUAAGUGAUGGAGAAAUGUGGAGAGUAACCACUGGGUCUGUGAGCUCCUUAGUUUUAUAAAUGUGUGUUAGAGUUUAACUUCAAAUUUUCCCAGCCACCUAGGUUAAAAAACAAAACAAAACAAAAACACAAGUUCCACCACAAGAGACACUUUGAAGAUCUGACCACAUUAGAAAAAAAAAACAAAAAACAAAAAAACAAAAAAACCUCAAAAAACCCUCCAAAUCUCAGCAUCUGAACUGAUAUGAAAAACAUCUGAAAAAUAUCAAUACCAUGCGACCUUCCAAAGAGCUGAGCUGUCUGUAAAGCCUGGAUCUCUUUAACAAUGAAGCCACUAACCACAAAGGAUCAUCCUGCUGGAUCCAAAUGCCUGUGACUGCAGGGGAGGCCACUGACUAAGAAGCAGAGGUUGAUGGUGUGGGUGAAGGGGACC